UACGGAGGGUGCGAGCGUUGUCCGGAAUCACUGGGCGUAAAGGGCGCGUAGGCGGCUUCUCAAGCGUGUGGUGAAAGUCCGGGGCUCAACCCCGGAUCGGCCGUGCGGACUGGGGAGCUCGAGUUCUGUAGAGGCGGGUGGAAUUCCGGGUGUAGCGGUGGAAUGCGUAGAGAUCCGGAGGAAGACCGGUGGCGAAGGCGGCCUGCUGGGCAGUUACUGACACUGAGGCGCGACAGCGUGGGGAGCAAACAGG
rnacentral:rRNA from 1 species